AGCAGCCGCGGUAAUUCCAGCUCCAAUAGCGUAUAUUAAAGUUGUUGCAGUUAAAAAGCUCGUAGUUGAAUUUCGGGAUUGACGUGAUGGUCGUGCCUUACGGGGUAUGAACUGUUGCAGUCAAUUUCUCACCUUCUGGAGAAAUAUGAUGUCCUUAAUUGGGUGUCAUAUGGAACCAGAACUUUUACCUUGAAAAAUUAGAGUGUUUAAAGCAGGCUUAUUGCUCGAAUACAUUAGCAUGGAAUAAUAAAAUAGGACGGCAUGGUUCUAUUUUGUUGGUUUCUAGGAUCACCGUAAUGAUUAAUAGGGAUAGUUGGGGGCAUUAGUAUUCAAUUGUCAGAGGUGAAAUUCUUGGAUUUAUUGAAGACUAACUACUGCGAAAGCAUUUGCCAAGGAUGUUUUCAUUAAUCAAGAACGAAAGUUAGGGGAUCGAAGACGAUCAGAUACCGUCGUAGUCUUAACCAUAAACUAUGCCGACUAGGAAUCAGACGAUGUUAAUUUUUAAUGACUCGUUUC
rnacentral:misc_RNA from 1 species